rfam:Cyanobacterium BACL30 MAG-120619-bin27 contig02068_1_120619-bin27, whole genome shotgun sequence.
AACGGACUGCCUUGUUGGUGACUGCCUUUUACAGUUUUCUGAUCUGACUCCCUUUUCGACAUGGGGGUCUGCAGCGGAAGCAACGUAAACCGGCCUCGCAGCCGGAAACGGCGCCCCGUCCUUGACCCUCUUCUGGUUCCACCAGGUCGAACACUGGGGCAAAACGGCACGGCGGUCCACCC